rnacentral:ncRNA from 2 species
AAUUUCAUAGGUGAUGAGGUUCGCCGUAAAUAUCCUAAUGGAUUGAUGACUUCUGCAUAUUA